UUAAUCGAUUGCAAUUUUUUUUAUAUUUUGUAGGCAACUCGAACACGGAAAAGUUAAAAAUAGAUCAAUUCCAUUUGUUUGCCAUUUUGAAUAUAUAAUCAUAGAUAUUAAUCGAUUGUAGUUUUUAUAUUUUGUAAGCAACUCGAACUAGAUAAUUUAAAUCAUACUUCAUACUACGUUCGGACCGACAUUGAAAACAUUUUGAAAACACAUUUGGAUGUUGUGGAAUCUAAGUCGUUCGGACCAACAAUUUGUGUUUUCACUGACAACUCACAAAUCUAUUUGUUUGUUUACAUUUGAGCAACGAGAAUGAAUUCUGAGAAAAAGAUAUUAAUUGCGAAAGCAUUGGCUUUGAGAAGCCAAAUAAAUACCCUGCUCAACGACAAUUCUUCAAGAGAAAUAUUAGAAAGUCUUAGUACUCAGCACCAUGCCUUAGCAAAAAAGAUAGCCGAGUUAAAGAAACAAUAUUUAAUCGUAUUAGAUUUAAUAAAGGACCUUGGGAUGCCGAUUAAUUCAUGUUGGAUAAAACUGUGUAUAUGUUCCUACUGACGAAAAAGUUUUCAAUUAUGUAUUAUUAAUUCCAGCAACGUAAGAAUCAGUUUUGGGAACACGAUUGUCAACGAAAUGGAUCUGCUUUUUUUAAAGAAAACUUUCGUAUGGACAAAAGUUCCUUUGAUAAAUUAUCCUCCGCCCGCUACAAAAAAUGGAUACGAAUUACCGAAAAGCUAUUCCUGUAAAGAAAAGAGGGCUAUUACAUUAUUUGCUUUAGGGUCAUCUGCAGAGUAUCGGAGUAUCGCCAACAUGUUCGGUGUGCAGUGGCGUAGCUACAACUUCGGGCGCCCGGGGCCAAGGAUGUUCUGCCGCCCCCCUUUAUCUACCUACCUACAAGUUUCAUGAGGAACUGGAAGCCACGCAAAUUCUGAUGUUGCAAAAUUCUCACAAUACGGUUUUUGAGGAAAUUGAUAGUAAAUUUACAAGACAUCUUAUUAAAAGCCAUAGAAAAACCCAUUUUCGCCCUAUAUCUUGUACACUUUUGACACAAAAAAGCUGUUAUUAAUAUAUAUUAAAAAACAGCGAAGAUCGUUUUGCCGCCCCCAAGGCAUUGCGCCCGGGGCGACUCAAUAUACAUGUAAGUACAUAACUAAUGUUUGCAAUGUAUUUUCAGAUACCGUUUUACUUAUAUAAACAUAGGAAGUCCCGGGCGAUGUAAUGACUCUCAAAUUUAUGAGACGUCAUCACUUAAGAAAGAAAUAGAUAAUUGUCUUUACUAAGCGAAAUGUCUCGAGACAUUUCAGGAAUAAAUGUGAGAGUAUUUAUUAUUGGGGAUUCGGAUUUUCGUUUUAGCAAACAAAUGAUGAAGCCGUAUCCAUUCGGCGUAAAUCAAAAUCAUCGUGAGAAGGAAUUCAACUACACUCUUUCGAAAACACGUAGAGUGGUCGAAAAUGCUUUUGGACACCUCAAGGCCCGCUUUCGACGCAUCGGAGAAGGAAUUGACAACUCUGUACGGAAUGCCAACUCAAUUAUAAAAGCAUGUUGCGUCCUUCACAAUUUUUUAAGUGAUAACAACGACACGCUAAACGCUAGAUGGUUACGCGCUUUGGAAGAGUUGGAGACUAGACGCCAAAAUCCGUGUGAUGUUUUAUAUGCAUCUGAUGACCCAAUUAAUGGAGAAACGAUUCGGACAGCACUUUGUGCAUAAUUUGGUAAGUACAUGUGUAUAUUGUAUCACAAUGUCUACAUUUUACACAAUUACAUAUGCAUUAAAUCAAUGAUAAAGUUGUACACACAAAACUAAAUUUAAUUUUAUUUUCCAUAUAAAAAUAAUUUUAAUUAUAACUCAA